UAAACGACUCUCGGCAACGGAUAUCUCGGCUCUCGCAUCGAUGAAGAAUGUAGUAAAAUGCGAUACUUGGUGUGAAUUGCAGAAUCCCGCGAACCAUCAAGCCUUUGAACGCAAGUUGCGCCCAAAGCCAUUAGGUUGAGGGCACGUCUACCUACGCGUCUCAC
rnacentral:rRNA from 1 species